AGAACGAACGCUGGCGGCAUGCCUAACACAUGCAAGUCGAACGAGACCUUCGGGUCUAGUGGCGCACGGGUGCGUAACGCGUGGGAAUCUGCCCUUGGGUUCGGGAUAACAGUUGGAAACGACUGCUAAUACCGGAUGAUGUCUUCGGACCAAAGAUUUAUCGCCCAAGGAUGAGCCCGCGUAGGAUUAGCUUGUUGGUGAGGUAAGAGCUCACCAAGGCGACGAUCCUUAGCUGGUCUGAGAGGAUGAUCAGCCACACUGGGACUGAGACACGGCCCAGACUCCUACGGGAGGCAGCAGUGGGGAAUAUUGGACAAUGGGCGAAAGCCUGAUCCAGCAAUGCCGCGUGAGUGAUGAAGGCCUUAGGGUUGUAAAGGCUCGUUUUACCCGGGAUGAUAAUGACAGUACCGGAGAAUAAGCCCCGGACUAACUCCGUGACCAGCAGCCGC
rnacentral:rRNA from 1 species